rnacentral:lncRNA from 1 species
AGCCCAGCUUCUCCAGCGGGUCGGGCUUGGUGUUUGUAACUGAUUCUCCGAAACUUUUUGCUAGUUGAGAGACUGCAAGAGUCUGAUGAGUGACUCUGAGAGGAAAUCCUCUGCCCGUUGAGGAAGAGGAUUCAGCACGGAGCUUAGGCGCUCGAGGAGAAAACAAAAAGAAAAAAAAAUGAUUUCCUGGGAAGUUGCCCACACAGUAUUUUUGUUUGCUCUUCUUUAUUCUUCCCUAGCUCAAGAUGCCAGCCCCCGGUCGGAGGUCAGGGCUGAGGAAAUUCCCAAUGGGGCUUCCACCUUGGCUUUUGUCUUUGAUGUGACUGGCUCCAUGUAUGACGAUUUGGUUCAGGUUAUCGAAGGGGCUUCCAAAAUUUUGGAGACGUCUUUGAAAAGACCUAAGAGACCUCUUUUCAACUUUGCUUUGGUGCCUUUCCAUGAUCCAGGUGGCUCACUAUUUGGGCAGCAAGACAUACGACCAAUUUUGUUUUAAGAUGAAAAUGCAUAUGGGCAAAGAGAGGC